rnacentral:rRNA from 1 species
GACGAACGCUGGCGGCGUGCUUAACACAUGCAAGUCGAACGGAAAGGCCCUGCUUUUGUGGGGUGCUCGAGUGGCGAACGGGUGAGUAACACGUGAGUAACCUGCCCUUGACUUUGGGAUAACUUCAGGAAACUGGGGCUAAUACCGGAUAGGAGCUCCUGCUGCAUGGUGGGGGUUGGAAAGUUUCGGCGGUUGGGGAUGGACUCGCGGCUUAUCAGCUUGUUGGUGGGGUAGUGGCUUACCAAGGCUUUGACGGGUAGCCGGCCUGAGAGGGUGACCGGCCACAUUGGGACUGAGAUACGGCCCAGACUCCUACGGGAGGAAGCAGUGGGGAAUAUUGCACAAUGGGCGGAAGCCUGAUGCAGCAACGCCGCGUGCGGGAUGACGGCCUUCGGGUUGUAAACCGCUUUAGCCUGUGACGAAGCGUGAGUGACGGUAAUGGGUAAAGAAGCACCGGCUAACUACGUG